CAAGGCGGGGGGGUGAGACGUACAGGAAGACCCGGGUGUCGGGAGACUCAACAGAAGGGAGACUACAAAGAAGCGAGGAAAGUGUGCCCAGGACGACUUCCAAGGAGGGAACAGCGGGGACAGAGGAGAACCGCGGUUACUGCCGUAGCACCCGCGAAUGCCGCGAUUUAUUCUCUCUCCUCGCUAUUUCCUCCUCUCACAACCCUUUAGCCAUCCCCUCUUCCUUCCCCGCUUUAGACUAGAACGCAGCCGCAAGCGGAAGUACACGUGACGCCAUCAGGCGUCGCCUGAGUGGCGCGCGAGUGGACGAAAGUGAGAUUUCAAGGGCCGGUGCUGGCUCCCGCGGGCGGGCAGUUUCUCGGUGCUUGGGACAGGCAGCAGAGGAGCGGCUCCGGCUGGGUGGGAAGCCAGUGCGGAAGCACGAUCCAGACACCUUGUUAGCGGGAGCCCGGGACCACCAGGUCUGGGAGGUGGAGCCUCAUUUUGCAUUGUUGUACACUGUUUUGUUCUCGGCCUUCUUUUUGCCCACUGCCGAAUCGGGAGUUGGGGGUUGGAUCUUGAGAGAGGGCCUAGUGUAAGGGAAAGAGCACUCUGCCUAGUUUGUGUUGGGUUAUAGACUUCCUGAAUCUGAGUAUAUGUUUCUGUAAAUAAGGAGUUCCGAUCACUACAACGGUAAAUUUCCGAAGUGGAGAAGAAAACAGGAUCUGUGCCAGACUUUGCAGGAGAUUCGCUGAAAGACCCCGGUAUAGUUCUCCCACCCCUCACCCACUAAGCUUUUAUCUAUGAAGUGUGCAUCACGAACAACCUUGUCUAUGCACCUCUGUGAAAGACUAUUGUGAUGGGGGGGUUGAAUUUAUUGUUGUUGUCUAAAGAACCUCGAAAGUCUGAGACUUUCAAAAUAAUAGCCUAGCUUAUUAAACUCAGAAUUAUCUCUUUCUGAUCCAGUUAAAGCACAGUGGCAUAAGGAAAAUGAAGUAAACGUCAAAAGCAGAUGUGCUGGCACAAGAUAAAAAGUAUAUCUCAGCUGACAUAGUUGCCAUGUUAAGACUGCUAAGUUUAGCUGCAUAUGCCUGAAAUUUUUUUAGCAUUUUUUUUUCUUUUUGGCAUUGGCAUCCCGAAUGAAAUGUGGGCAGCUGCCAGUACCCUACAGAAUACUAUAGCAGAAUUGGCAAUGACUGAAUCAAUCCAUUCAAGCAAAAAUUAGUCAUGUGCCUACUGUGUGCAUAGUUUAGGACAUCAAAGUAUCUGCUUCCAAAGGCUUUACGGUGUAAUAAGAGUUGUACUAAAUUUACACACAAAGUACCAAUCAUCUGUUACAGUAGUUGCUGAGUUCCUGUGCAGAACAGUAGGCAACAUUGUAUAUUUUACCACUACAGAUUUAAGUUCUAUAACCUCAGCUAGAUUUCUCCCUCCUACUUUGUAUAUCCUUCAGCACCUUUGUCUCCCUUCCCACCAGAAUACUUUUUGCAGUCUAAAUUCCAGCCGCAUUUCAUUAUAUGACUUUACUUCAUACUUUGCAAGAAAAUUAAUGGUGUUAGGCACAAAUUCCUUCAAUUUUUCUAAAUGCUAGGAAAUUAGAUACUUCAUUGUUCUUCUCCAGUAUUAGAAGAAUGAAAUACUCCCCGCUCUUACAAAAGAUGUAUUAUUCAUCUGUACCCUAGUUCCAUAUCAUCUUUCUCUUCCAUUUAUUAUCUUUUCUGUCUUUAAUCUUCCACAUGUCUAGUUCCACUGUUUCCUUCACAGUCAAGCUUUAAAGAGUAUUCUAUGUUCAAUGUCUCUUUGUUAUCUGAAUUUCAUUCAUUAACCCUCUGCAGUCUAAAUUCUGUACCUAUUACACUAUCAGAAAUGCUCUUUUCAAAGUAAUCCCAUUAUUUAGAAGAAAGUGAAUUGCUACUUUUUUAUAUAGUAGUGAAACUAUUUUGGUGGAACCAAUAGGAAAAGGUCAAACCUAUUAGAAUGGAGUGACUUCCUGUUAUUUUUAUCUAGUAUUUUUUUUUUCUUUUAGAAUCUUGUAGCAGAGACUUGACCAGCCACUCAUGAGAAUUAGUUCUUCUCCCUGGUCAUACAGCUAGGCUAAAUUUCCCUUGCAGUUAGUUGUGACCAUGUGGCUGACUUUUAGUCAGUGAGAUAUGAAUGAACAUAAUAUGCUCAUUUCCAGGCUUGAUGAGGUCCUCCCAUUCUCCCUUCAUCUUGCCCUAUCAGCUUGAAGCUAGUGCAUAUGGUAGACCUGAAAACUAUAUAUUAGAGAUACCAGAGCUAGGAGGGAGAAGGAGCAUGACUGGCUAAAUCACUACGUGGAAGACAGCUACCUCCAAAUUAGAAAAUGCUUCUUUUUGGACUUAUUACAGAAGAGAAAAUUUAGAUUUGAGAAUUUAUAUGUUAACAGGAACAAGAAUGACCGUAACUGAUCCAGAAAUUGGUAUCAGAAGUGGGGUACUGCCUAGACAAUAACUUAAAAUAUGUUGUGUUGCAAUGAUAACAGCACAUGUUGAAUAAACUGAUAUCAGAGGCUGGAAGGAGACUCAUGUCUUGUAGUGGCAAAAUAAUUGGUAAAACUGUUACCUGCAAUAAUUGAAAAGCAUAUCACCCAUCUAUUGAGACUGUAGUCCAGAGGAAAAUAGUUCAAAAGAAUAAAAGUAAUAGUAUAUUUUGAAUUUUACAUUUUACAUCCAGAUGGAUUUUACUAUAGAAAUAAGCUCUGUAAAUAAUUGCAGAAAUUAAAGUGCAUGGAGAUACUUGAAAGGAUUAGAAGAGAUAUUUUUUUCUAGACCUUGAAUAGUAAAAAAAGAAAAGAAACAAAAAGGCUUUGAGUACAGUUUCUUAAGAUACAGUUCCAGAACAAAUAUCGGAUGAAGGCUCUGGCUUUCACCUCCAACACCAUGAUUUUCACUGCAGUGACAUUUUAGAGAAACUGUCAUGGGAACAAGGAAGCAAAAAAGUAAUUCAGGUUUGACAAUUAUGUAAGAAAGAAUUUUGGGAGAAUUACUGCAAGUAAAUAGAUAAAAGAAUAUAUUUUUGAAGGAAUUUUAUUAAUCAAAUCAUGAACCUGGUUCAAAUAGUGUUCAGGUAUUAAAACAGGCAAUUGUUGAACCCCAAACUUGCAUAAGUAGGAAAUGGGGCAUAAAUGCUUUACAGCUCCCCAAUAUUUACAUAGGAUGUGGUCAUGGGCAGCGAUGGUCAAAGGACAUUUCAGAGGCUGGUGUCAGGUCCAUACAGAGACAGAGGACAAGGGAGUUCCUCUCAAAGACUAGGUUGAGGUCUUAUCAAAACUUCUUCCACUCUUGAGGGAGAGAAACAGAUCACAAAAUGCCUAUGCAUUAUUUCUUUAUUGCUAUGCAUGUGUAUUGCUUAGUGUCACAUUUUUCUCUUUUCUAAACAUGAAUGCAUUUUUACAUGUCCCUCACCUUCCCUGUACAUUGUUUUUCUGGGACAUGGGGUGAUAUGAGAGAGAACUUGUCUUUUUAGUUCAUAGGUUGCAUCUGGACCAAAAGAAAAAGACUAGAGUUACCUAAAAAUCUAGACUUUAAGCCUGACUUAGUGACUGGUUAAAAUUUUAAGUUGUCUCCAUUGGGGCAGGAUGUAUUUUAUGUAUGAAGAGAGGUAAAAUAAAUAUUUAGUGACCAUAAUUGUGGACUCAAAGACACUAGAUUCUUUUUCUGAGCACACAGAUUACACUUUCCAGCCUCCCUUGCAGUUAGGCUAACUAGUUACAUGUGCCAAUUAGGUUCUAACUACGAAUGUGAGUAGAAGUGAUGUGCUGCUGUUGCAGCUCUAGUCCAUAAAAAUAUGACGUGAAGUCCUCCCAAAUCUCCCCAUUCCCUACCAACUUGAGGAAGGAUAAACACCUUUGUAUUGGAAGCUAUGUAUUGAAGAUGAUGAAACCCAAUGUGGAAGGAUUCUGGUUUCCUGCAUCAUUUCUUGGAGGAUAGCUGCCUGCCUACUAGGAAUACUUGUGUUAGAGAUAAUGUGCAUUCUUUUGUGUUUAGUCAUUGAGAUGAGAGUUUAUUCUAAUACAGACCUACCCUUCUUUCUCCAGGUGCAACCGUCCAUUACCUGGUCCUAACUCCCAUAACAGGGUGGUCCCAUGAAUCAGGCCAGCCCAAAGUUACUGAAAAGCAAAGUGGCCAGCAGGCAGCUAAGAUUGCAAGAGAAUUAUGUUGACAGAAACAUGAAGCCUUGCAAACAAAGGCCUAUGAUUGCCUAAUUCCAGUAUCCUUUAUGUGUGGGCAAGAGGUAAGGGAGUGCCUUCCAGAGAGCAAACUCAAGACCACUAGAUUAACUGACCAAGACCUCAUCUAAUAGGUAAUUAGGGUGCUCUUGCUCUUGUUAAGUAUAUGCCACUAUUUAAAAUUAUGUUUAUUAUGCUGUACCAUGAAGAGCUAUGUCCAGACCUGACCAACAGAAAUGCACAUUAUCCAGAAGUCUUGGUUUUCAGGCAAGAUGCAAUAAUUGGAUGAGACUUGGGCAUGUCUACCACUGGGGAGAAGAGUUGUCUAUGGGAUAAUUACAUUGUCUUGGACUAGGGCAUUUUUUAAAAUUAUAUGUA